UACACACUUUCAUUACCCAUAUCGCUGCAAUUAUUUAUUUAACAUUCAAGUGUUUCUAUAAUGUUACUUAUUCAGUGCUUAAUAAGUAACGUUAUACAUUGUAUAAAGUUAUCGUUUAUUUUUCUGUAAUCCUUUAUUUAUUUUAUAAAAGUAUGUGUUUGUGUAAUACAAACAUACUUUUAUAAAAUAAAGGAAUACAGAAAGAAACAUUAUGCAAAAACAUUUUCCAAACAUUUUUGUUCAUCAGAUCUACCAGUUUUCAAUUUUACUCAUGGACUCUUGGAGGAUGCUCAAGAAUCAACCUAUAAGUUAAUAAGCAAUAAGCGUUUAAGUUUUUCUUGAAAGUUCAUGGAAAUUAUUUUUAGAAGAUGAUGACAACCAAAGAUCUUAGAUUUCGUUUCUAAAACAAUCAAUAUCAAAAAAUGAUACAGUUAUUUACCAGAAGCUGUCGCUCUGGUGAUUUCAAUGGCAGAAAAUUACGAAGAAUCAAAUGUGGAAGACGAGAAAAAAGACUUCAAAGAUGAUAAAAUUUAUUGAAGAUGAAAAAUAA